rnacentral:rRNA from 1 species
GAACAUACCAAUUGUUGCCUCGGCGGAUCAGCCCGCUCCCGGUAAAACGGGACGGCCCGCCAGAGGACCCCUAAACUCUGUUUCUAUAUGUAACUUCUGAGUAAAACCAUAAAUAAAUCAAAACUUUCAACAACGGAUCUCUUGGUUCUGGCAUCGAUGAAGAACGCAGCAAAAUGCGAUAAGUAAUGUGAAUUGCAGAAUUCAGUGAAUCAUCGAAUCUUUGAACGCACAUUGCGCCCGCCAGUAUUCUGGCGGGCAUGCCUGUUCGAGCGUCAUUUCAACCCUCAAGCCCCCGGGUUUGGUGUUGGGGAUCGGCGAGCCCUUGCGGCAAGCCGGCCCCGAAAUCUAGUGGCGGUCUCGCUGCAGCUUCCAUUGCGUAGUAGUAAAACCCUCGCAACUGGUACGCGGCGCGGCCAAGCCGUUAAACCCCCAACUUCUGAAUGUUGACCUCGGAUCAGGUAGGAAUACCCGCUGAACUUAAGCAUAUCAAUAAGCGGAGGA